CAGGAAAAUUCAUGUUUUCUGCUUGCUGAACCAUUUUGUUGCUGAAGGGUUCCCACACCAGAUCACCACAGAAAGAGUCGUGUCCAUGACGUUGCCGGGUGUCUCGAGGCUGAGCAUUGGGACUGAGAAGCAGGGCUUUUAAAAAAGACACAGAUGGGGUGCCUGAGUAGCUCAGUGAGGCUUGUGCUGGGAGUGCCCCGAAGUGUCAGCGCAUUUGCCCAUUCGGAGCCUGCUGCUGAUCCACAAGUGAUUCCUGAGCUCUCAGAAUGGCCUGGAACAAACAAUAGGUUUCCAAGAGGACAAAGGUGGACGGGAGAAAGAGCCUCUAGGGCUGCAAUAAUGCAGAGGCCAUUUUCCAGCACGACAGCGCCACCAGCCGGACACAGUCAUGAAGUACAUCGCUUUAAAAACAAUGAGCCCGGGAUCCCUGGGUGGCGCAGUGGUUUAGCGCCUGCCUUUGGCCCAGGGCGCGAUCCUGGAGAUCCGGAAUCGAAUCCCACGUCAGGCUUCCGGGGCAUGGAGCCUGCUUGUGUCUCUGCCUCUCUCUCUCUGUGUGUGACUAUCAUAAAAAAAAAAAAAAAAAAAAAAAAAAAAAAACAAUGAGCCCACUACCUUGUUAGUGACCCAUACAUGUCCUGUUACUUUCAACCUGACCUCCCCCAUUCUGAGAUAAGUCAACUUGGAUUUGGUGGCUAUCAAAAGAAGAGCAAAAAGGCCUUAACAGUCCAAUGGAAAUGCUUUAUUCAAGAGCACAGCUGGCCUAUCCCUAACACAAUCUGAAUUGUACGUGAGAGGGUAGUGGCAAUCCCUUUGGGGAGAACUCCCUUCCUCGCUCCAUCACCUGAAGCAAGACUGCUAGCUCUAUGGGGCCCUCAACUCACAGAGGGCCUCCCAAGUGCCUGCCUGGCUCGCUGGUGGUUUGGCUAUGCUGACUGCUGAUCAUGUCCACACUCAACCUCAGCACCUGCAAGGCAGAGUCAAGGCAUCUGUGUUGAUUCUACUCAACGUGCAGAACUCAAGGCAGUGCCUAGAGCCCUGGCCCAUACUUCCGCCUGAUGAAACGUGGUACAUUUUUACUGCCUUUUAUGUUGUUGUCAAUGGCCUAGCUAUCCUGUCGGCAAGACUGGCAGAUCAAAGACAUUUGUCUUGGGAGCUGCAAACUGUGGAAACAAAUCUAUCUGCCAGUCAGACACCCUGGCUCAUUCAUGGGGAUGCCCAUGGUAAGGACCCUUCUCUGGUUUGACCUACUGGAAUGAGGCUGCCCACCCAGCCCGCGCUGGCCAUACAACUGCCACCACUGCCUAGGUCCAUUAUUACAUCAGACGCGGCAACACAUCCACCAUUAUGGACAGGGCGCAAAGUAAAGAACUGUAUGCUUCUGAUGCAAAAGACACUAAACUUGUGAUGCCUCCCAAAAGUUAGACUGUUUGCCUCUCUAACUUUUUAGAGAGGCCACAUUGCUCUGGCCAUUGCUCUGCCUGUUCCUAGAUGAUUGAACACCUCAGACCCUUGAGCCCCUCUCUGGACUAUCAUUGGUGUCUCACUGCCGUGGGUAUAUUUUCAGAUUAGAGUGUCCCUAUCCCAGUCUAAUCAGGAGACUGGCCACACCACUGUGGCCCUUGUAACUAAGCCAUGUCAAGUUUUGGCUUUUCGCGCCAUCUAUAGUCUGACAAUGGUUUACCCUUUGUUGUAAAAAUCACCCAACCAUGGGCGAAUAGUCAUGGCACUCGAUGGCCAUGCCAUGCUCCCUACCAUCUGCAGGCAUUCCAUAUUAUCAGGCACUGGAAUGGCUGCCUCAAAAAUUAGCUCAAAAGCUUGUGAUUACCUUCCUCAUCUGCUUUUGGCCCACACACCUCAGGGGGACAGUGUGGCCACUGAGCACAGUUGUCUCCAGACAAGAAUCAUCUCUCAGCCAUUUCUUAGGUAACGACUGGGACAAAGGGAUGGGUUAUAUAGGCCUUUCUGAAAAUUUAGGAUUCUAACUAUUCCUAGGCAUAGAGCUUCCGUUUCUCCCUCAAAGUAUCAGCCAAGCUGGUCCAGCCUCUGGUUGUCGGCAUGGCAGAGAGGGUCUAGGGGAUUCAAACUUCACUCUGGUUUAGUGGAUUCUCCUGAUAGAUUUACAUGAUCCUAGGUCAUAAGGGUAAUGACCACUUGGUUGAGUACACUGCUUCCCAAGUUCCCCUAUGCUGGUCCACAGAGGCCAAGGUGGGAGAUAUAAUGGGUCUCUGUACAUUUUGUCCCAUUCACACCUGGCCCCUCCAGAUAAAAGGUCAGGGCAUGUGUGGGGAAAGACUAGAGAGACGGUGAAGUGAUAGCUACUGGAAUGGACACAUAGCUUCCACAGUUGGGGAGGCCCAAUGGCACCUCAGAUGCCAGGAGGUGCAGGGAGGGAGGGAUGAUUGGCAUUCUCUUUGUCCCCUAGUCUGCAUUGCAGCCUAGCAAAACCAUCACCUAGUUUAUAUGGGUUAAGCUUCAGCUGGCAACCUGACCCCAUCUGGGCUUGUCAUCCUGUCCACAUGCUACAGAAAUAGGAAACUCGCAUAGGUAAGGCUGGUCCUAGACUAUUUGGUUAUGCCCUUUGCCACCAAAGGCACCUCCAGAAUAUGAAACCUCCCCUCUCCUGACCUUGUACAGACAGACCAUCCAGCACAACCUUGUUGCAAUCUGACUGAUACAAAUAAAUGCAUAUACUUUUCCUGUCA
rnacentral:lncRNA from 1 species